CAGGAGGAGGAGCAGCAGCAGCAGGAGUAGUAGGAGGAGUAGGAGUAGUAGGAGUAGGAGUAGUAGGAGGAGGAGUAGCAGUAGCGUAGCAGCAGUAGUAGUAGUUAGUAAGAGUAGUAGUAGGAGUAGGAGUAGGAGUAGGAGUAGUAGAAGUAGGAGGAGUAGGAGGAGUAGGAGGAGGAGGAGUAGCAGUAGCGUAGGAGUAGUAGUAGUAGUAGGAGUAGGAGUAGUAGUAGGAGUAGGAGUAGUAGUAGGAGUAGGAGUAGUAGUAGCAGUAGCAGUAGGAGUAGUAGUAGGAGUAGGAGUAGUAGUAGGAGUAAGAGUAGGAGUAGUAGGAGUAGGAGGAGGAGUAGUAGGAGGAGGAGGAAGAGGAGGAGCAGCAGCAGCAGCAGCAGCAGUAG
rnacentral:lncRNA from 1 species